UGAGAGGAUGAUCAGCCACACCGGGACUGAGACACGGCCCGGACUCCUACGGGAGGCAGCAGUGGGGAAUAUUGGACAAUGGGGGGAACCCUGAUCCAGCCAUGCCGCGUGUGUGAAGAAGGCCUUUUGGUUGUAAAGCACUUUAAGCAGUGAAGAAGAAGUUAUGGUUAAUACCCAUAAUGGAUGACAUUAGCUGCAGAAUAAGCACCGGCUAACUCUGUGCCAGCAGCCGCGGUAAUACAGAGGGUGCGAGCGUUAAUCGGAAUUACUGGGCGUAAAGCGAGCGUAGGUGGCUUAAUAAGUCAGAUGUGAAAUCCCCGGGCUUAACCUGGGAACUGCAUCUGAAACUGUUCGGCUAGAGUAGGUGAGAGGGAAGUAGAAUUCCAGGUGUAGCGGUGAAAUGGGUAGAGAUCUGGAGGAAUACCGAUGGCGAAGGCAGCUUCCUGGCAUCAUACUGACACUGAGGUUCGAAAGCGUGGGUAGCAAACAGGAUUAGAUACCUUGGUAGUCCACGCCGUAAACGAUGUCUACUAGUCGUUGGGUCCCUUGAGGACUUAGUGACGC
rnacentral:rRNA from 1 species